rnacentral:misc_RNA from 1 species
AAGACGCCAAACGGGGCAGCGAACACUGAUGCCGCGCGCCGCCAUGACGCCCGGGUGGCCUGACCGCCCGGUGACCAGCGACGUCAAAUAAAGGGUCGAAGCAUAGCGCUUCGGCCCUUUUACUUUGGGCGUGUGCCCUGCCCGUUACGCACCGAAGAUCGACCAGCCCAUCCGCUUGCUGAGGGUUUCCAAGGCGUCGCGGCCAAGCC